rnacentral:rRNA from 1 species
GCAUCGAUGAAGAACGCAGCUAAAUGCGUAAAGUCAUGUGACAUGCAAUGAUUGCGAGUCAUGGAAUGUUUGAACGCACCUUGCGCGCGUGGACCCACGUCCACGGGCAUGCUUGUUUGAGUAUCGCGAAUUUCUCUCUCUCUUGGUAAGAGAGGAUGUGGGCCAUCUGACGUCCUGGAUGAUCAGUGGGCCGAAAUCGAGUCGCAUCGUCGGAUCACCCUGUUGAUGACUUGUCAUGGGAUCAACAUCUGCACGACAAGUGUUUCAAUGUGGGUGGUAUAGGACAGCGCACGAACGAAAUAUCUAGUAUUUCAAAUCUCAGAUAUCGAUCUCAAAUCAAGCAGGAUCACCCGCUGAACUUAAGCAUAUCAAUAAGCGGAGGA